UACGUAGGGGGCAAGCGUUGUCCGGAUUUAUUGGGCGUAAAGAGCGUGUAGGCGGCCAAGCAGGUCCGCUGUGAAAACUCGAGGCUCAACCUCGAGACGUCGGUGGAAACCGUUUGGCUAGAGUCCGGAAGAGGCGAGUGGAAUCCCCGGUGUAGCGGUGAAAUGCGCAGAUAUCGGGAGGAACACCAAUUGCGAAGGCAGCUCGCUGGGACGUUACUGACGCUGAGACGCGAAAGCGUGGGGAGCAAACAGG
rnacentral:rRNA from 1 species